rnacentral:rRNA from 1 species
GGACUACCGGGGUAUCUAAUCCUGUUUGAUCCCCACGCUUUCGUGCCUCAGCGUCAAUGUUUGCUUAGUAAGCUGCCUUCGCAAUUGGUGUUCUAUGUCAUAUCUAUGCAUUUCACCGCUACAUGACAUAUUCCGCCUACCUCAACAAAAUUCAAGACAGAUAGUAUCAAUGGCAGUUUCCGGGUUGAGCCCGGAGAUUUCACCACUGACUUAACUGCCCGCCUACACACCCUUUAAACCCAGUGAAUCCGGAUAACGCUUGCACCCUCCGUAUUACCGCGGCUGCUGGCAC